rnacentral:rRNA from 1 species
CUCAAUGCGGUGCUAUACAUGCAGUCGAGCGGACCGACGGGAGCUUGCUCCCUUAGGUCAGCGGCGGACGGGUGAGUAACACGUGGGUAACCUGCCUGUAAGACUGGGAUAACUCCGGGAAACCGGGGCUAAUACCGGAUGCUUGAUUGAACCGCAUGGUUCAAUCAUGAAAGGCGGCUUCGGCUGCCGUUUACAGAUGGACCCGCGGCGCAUUAGCUAGUUGGUGAGGUAACGGCUCACCAAGGCGACGAUGCGUAGCCGACCUGAGAGGGUGAUCGGCCACACUGGGACUGAGACACGGCCCAGACUCCUACGGGAGGCAGCAGUAGGGAAUCUUCCGCAAUGGACGAAAGUCUGACGGAGCAACGCCGCGUGAGUGAUGAAGGUUUUCGGAUCGUAAAGCUCUGUUGUUAGGGAAGAACAAGUACCGUUCGAAUAGGGCGGUACCUUGACGGUACCUAACCAGAAAGCCACGGCUAACUACGUGCCAGCAGCCGCGGUAAUACGUAGGUGGCAAGCGUUGUCCGGAAUUAUUGGGCGUAAAGCGCGCGCAGGCGGUUUCUUAAGUCUGAUGUGAAAGCCCCCGGCUCAACCGGGGAGGGUCAUUGGAAACUGGGGAACUUGAGUGCAGAAGAGGAGAGUGGAAUUCCACGUGUAGCGGUGAAAUGCGUAGAGAUGUGGAGGAACACCAGUGGCGAAGGCGACUCUCUGGUCUGU